rnacentral:lncRNA from 1 species
AUGGACAGGUUCCUGUGUCCUCGUGUGACUCAGCCAAGCUCAGCCUCCAGUUUUCUCUCCAACAAGGAGAACAUCGUCUUCCUGGAGGCACAGCUUCAUGUGGAGCGGCCCCUCCCACAGACAGACGGCAGUCAGCUGAUCAGACCGGCAUCAGCGAAGCGGAAGAGCUCUGAAAUGGAGACCGCUGAAGAAGAGGUGACCAUCAAACGAGUUCCAGUGUUGUCCUCUUCCCCUGUGGAAGCGGAGCUUUCAGCUGAGUGGGAGGCGAGGCAGAAACAGGAGGAAGAGGAUCGCCGAAUGGCUCUGCUCCUUCAGAAGGAGUUGGAUGAGGAGGCAAAUCGAAGGGCCACCGACAGACGCAAAGGAUCCUCUGACGCCUACUUGCUCCGCCACAAGGGAGGAGAGACCGGGGAGGCCAGAGCGUCUAACGCACCUGAAAGAGGCUCCUUCCAGAGCCCCAGAACCACCAGUCGAUCCUGCUCCUCCUCAUGCUCCUCACGUCGUUCUACUCCUCUGAAGGGUCGGAAAACUUUGCCUUCAUCCUCAUCAUCUUCAUUGUCCUCCAGGGGAGGCAGGAAACAGAUGACUCUGACGAGUAUUUUUGGGUCCUCCCCCUCCUCCUCCUCAACUGCACAGACAAACAGUUGGGAGUAA